GCGCAGCAGGCGCGAAACUUUACAAUGUGCGAAAGCACGAUAAGGGAACUCUGAGUGCCUCCUAAGGGGCGUGUUCAGGUGUCUAAAAGACACCUGAAGGAAGGGCUGGGUAAGGACCGGUGCCGAGCCGCCGCGGUAACACCGGCAGCCCAAGUGGUAGCCACGUUUAUUGGGUCUAAAGCGUCCGUAGCCGGCUGGGU
rnacentral:rRNA from 1 species